GUUAAACCAUUAAAUCAUGUUUCCCUUGUAGUUAAAAUGCCGAGAACCUGAAUUUUGCGCUGCGUAGAUCACCACAAGUUUCCCAUCUAUUGCUCAGACACAGUCGGGGGAAGCUCCACCACUCUUGAAAGCCCAGAGUGAUCACCAGCCAAUCAGCAACCUUUGGUUCAGGCAGAGGUUCAUCCACCAGGCUUUCCCAAAUGGCCUCGGACACAUCUGGCACAAUGUUUGCUACGGUGGAGAAGCCCACUCUGCAGCGGCGGUGUAACAGUCACCUGUUGCCAGUGAAGGGAGAGAGAGUGGGAAAGAGAUGGAGUGGUGAGAGAGCAGCGGAGAAGUGACACAAAUCAAUGUGAGCACCCAAACCACCAUCACCAGCAGCGGCGACAGCCUCCCCGACCUCCAUCACCCCUCUGCCUUUCCCUGUGAGAGACCAGCUGAGACAGACUCCAAGAAAGGGGACUCCUUUAACAGCACUUCACUGGGUUGGCCGAGUCUCUGAUGGGUAUUCCCUCUGCAGCAGAGCCACCUCCACCGGGACGCUUGUAGCUCCUUGCUCAAAUGAUAUUGGCUGCAGCAGGGGUGCAUAAAAACUGGUGGAGCAUCGGCUGUCGCUAAGAGAAACUGAAGGACAUAAAGGAAGUUAGACUGAGA